rnacentral:rRNA from 1 species
UACAGAGGGUGCAAGCGUUAAUCGGAAUUACUGGGCGUAAAGCGUGCGCAGACGGUUGCGUAAGUCAGAUGUGAAAGCCCCGGGCUCAACCUGGGAAUUGCAUUUGAGACUGCGUAGCUAGGGUGCGGAAGAGGGAAGCGGAAUUUCCGGUGUAGCGGUGAAGUGCGUAGAUAUCGGAAGGAACACCAGUGGCGAAAGCGGCUUCCUGGUCCAGCACCGACGUUCAGGCACGAAAGCGUGGGGAGCAAACAGG